UACAGCAGUUAACUCAUAUAAGUUCAUUCUUCCCCUAUAGUAAAAACUAUUAUUAAUCUAAAUUCUAAAAAAUAUUCAAUAGAAGUGACCCUAAUAUUAAUAACAACUUUUCUCCAUUACACACAAACUCUUUGAAACAACUCUAAUAAUAAUAACAUCAUUCUCCCCUCAUAUACAAACUCUUUGCCAAGAAAUACUCUUCUGCAUAACUCCUUACUCUCAACAGUUCAGCUUAACUGUUUGAAAAUCCGUAGUAAGAUAACAAAAUUAUAGUUAUACACAAACACUUUGCCAACAAAAAACAUAAUAAAAAAAUAAAAUCCUUCUAUAUACAUAAAAGUUUAUAAUUUAAUAAAAUUAUACUCCAACAAAACUCUAUAUAAAAUACUAAAUUACGAUAACAUGCAUUAAAUAUUUCGAAAUUGUAUAUUUUAAAUUUCUGGAACAUAAAUUUCCCGCGGCGAAGCGCGGGC
rnacentral:lncRNA from 1 species